AGGAUAUCCACUUUGUUGGCCUAUAAGAUCCCAAUGGAAGAUGCCCUGCCUCUCUCUAGAGCCUUUGCCAUGCUGGAAGAAGCUAAACAGCACUUCAGUCUUGAAGAGUACAGCUUUUCUUUGAACACUUUGGAACAGGUAUUUCUGGAACUGUGCAAAGAACAUGAGCGAGAUUAUUUUGAAUCGGGUCCAACUUCUGAAUGGAGAGAACUGUAGCAUCAACAAGAUAGUUGAAAGACUGAUCAACAACCAAGGCAAACACCAGUUUCUUUCACCAAGAAAAAUGGAGGGCAAAUAGGUUGAGCACUCUGAGGAAUGUUGUGCCUGGACAUCCCCUGGGAAAAGAUAUUCUGUAAUCUUCUCUAUGUUUAACAAGUAUGCCUAGUUGUCUGUUAGAAAGAUUAACCCUCAUAUUUAUCAUAUCUAGAGAUAUAACAUUUUUGAAUAUUUCACAACUAACAGCAAAACAAAUGUUUCUGCACUAUUUUGUUUUCAUGAGAAAAAUGAAAUGGAAAUAUAUAUAUAUAUUUUAAAAUAUGUAUUGUUUAUAGCCUAGCACACAAACAUGUAUAGAUGGUAUUUUUAAUCAGAAUAUGUUAAUAUUUUUAAUUUAAAUAACAAGUCAAUGUAUAUCCAGUGUUUAUUGGGUGGAUAAAUAAACACCCAUACUCUAAAUACUUAUGUAUUGUUGCCAUCCUCAUCUUCCAUAUUAAUAAAUAGUAAUACAGCUGACCCAAUUAACUAUUGUACCGGGAGCCAUUAAAUAUCAUCACAAA